UAUAUAUAUAUAUAUAUAUAUAUACGUAUAUAUAUGUAUAUAUACACUUAAUAAAAGUUGCUCUGAGCAGCUCAUUUGAUCCAGGGCAGUGGGGCAUCCAGUAUGACCAAAGUAAGGUCUGCACCAGUGUAUGCCCAUUGGCAACCUUAUUAGUCGCCGUGAUUACUGACAGAAUAUCGAUUAAGGAUUAUCUGAGGAGAGCUUGAGUUAAGAAACAGCAGCCUGUAGGGACAGUGUGUAAGAGGAGUUCCAGAAUGAAAGGAAAAGGCUGUUUUCAUUAGCAGGCUGUGGAGAAAUGUAUUAAGAAGCAAGGCUCUAGUGAUAAGUAGGAAAGCACAGAUGGAAGGAGGAAGAUAAAAUGUGUAAGGUCAAAAAGACAUUGCUGUCAUCUGCUCAUGGUGCACAGAUGAUGUUGCACAGAGGAGCCAGGGAAACUGAAGAGGGGUAUCUGUGAGAGAGAGGAAUGCAAGAACAAACACUCAGCAUGUCUAAGGGACUGGAAACUUGUUACAGUUGACAGAGAUAUCAAACCUUUGGUUCGCUCCUCAUUACAGGAUUCCCAUCUCGCACAAUGUACUCAUCCCUUUCAGACACUGAUGCUAGACUUGUUUUACUAGCACAGUAUUCAUUUUCCUUUUUUUUUUCCUUUUUAAUUUUUUGUUAUAACUCAUUAGAAGGCACUAAUCAGCUACUUUUGAUUCUACUAUUAGUAUCUGAACCAGCUGUGUUUACCACUUAGUAAACUAAAUACGAAAACUCUGUUGGUUUAAUCUUGGCAACGUUCAUCUUUAGAAGGAUCUGAUGGAUGGGAUAAAAUCAGAUAGGAUUUGGCAGUAUGCAUUUCAGGUUCACAGUAUUUCUCUAUCCAGGAGCCAUGCAUCAGUUCCUCAGAGUUUCCUG
ensembl:lncRNA